rnacentral:rRNA from 1 species
UAAGGGAUAUUGCGCAAUGGGCGAAAGCCUGACGCAGCAACGCCGCGUGGAGGAUGAAGGCCUUCGGGUUGUAAACUUCUUUGGCUCAGGACGAGGAAGGACGGUACUGAGCAAACAAGUCACGGCUAACUACGUGCCAGCAGCCGCGGUAAAACGUAGGUGGCAAGCGUUAUCCGGAAUUACUGGGCGUAAAGGGUGUGCAGGCGGGGGUGCAAGUGGUGUAUGAAAUCGCUCGGCUUAACCGGGCGGGGUUAUGCCAGACUGCACUUCUAGAGGACGAGAGAGGGGGGUGGAAUUCCGGGUGUAGUGGUGAAAUGCGUAGAGAUCCGGAGGAACCCCAGAGGCGAAGGCGGCCCCCUGGCUCGUACCUGACGCUCAGCCACGAAAGCAUGGGGAGCGAACGGGAUUAGAUACCCGUGUAGUCC